UUGCAGUAAAAUAAAUAUACUUUGGUAUAUCAAUUGAUCUUUAUAUAAUUAAAUUGGAAUUCUUAUAAAACAAUAAUAAUUACAAUAUUUCUAGCUGAAGACAGGGCAGCCUUCAACAACAACUCCUUUAGCCGUUGGGCAAGUAGCUAGGGAGCAGCCGUCAAGGUUAUUUCCCCACCAAUCAACACUAAUAUCUUCUAGCCCCAGGCAAAGAUAUAUUAGCACACCCAUGAAGGCAAGACCAGCAUCCAGUGACCCUGAAAGAACAUAAUUGUAUCGCUGCCACAAGUCUGGCCUGUACCUAUACACAACAAAGCCAGAGAGGAAACCCAAAAUUAUCCAGCUAGUGUAGUUAACUGCUGUAGCUGGUGGCAUCAUUCCUGUUGCGCCUAUUAACACUGGCAUAUUUAUAAGUCUAAUCCAUUCUUGUUGAGGGAAAGCCUUUGCAGCUAACCACACAAGAACAGGUGCAAUUGCACCACCUAGGAAGAACCAGUUGACUGCCUCAUAGGUGCCUAAAUCUCCAAAAAUUCUGCGAGGUCCAAUUAAACCCCAAAUCACAGAUGCAUCGUAGAAUACAGUAUCGCUUGGGCAAGUCCAGACGCUAUUGGAGGCUGUUGUGUCACACAAAUCUGGGAUGGUUUCCAUUAGCCACCAUGCAGUGCCCAAAUAUGUAAGACAUGCUAUAAUGGUUCCCACAAUCUGUGCCAUGAACAUUGUUCUGGGAGGAAUCUUCAUAUAGUGGCCAAGUUUAAAGUCUUGCAGGAAAGUUACGGCCUGUGUCAUACUUAUGUAUCCAUACACCUUGAAGCACAUGUUGGCAACUGGGUAUCCUGGGUAGAUAUACCCAAUUACAUAUUCAGUGAUGAUGUUCAAGCCCGGUGUCUUUCAUCAGAAGAAAUGAGAUGAGUAAUUAAAAAAUAGGGUGUCUCUUGUAUAAAAAAAAAAUAAAAAAGGGGGGUCUCAGUGCACAAGACUCGAGACUUCCUGCAUUUCAGGCAGUAGAUGGUAGAAGUACCUGAUUUGUGAUAGCAGUGAUGAUGCCAAUGGGAAGAGUGAAUACAAUGGCAAUUCCACAAGCUAGUAAAACGCCCCACCAUGGCAAUUGAAGCUGGUCAUUAUAAUACUCACAAGCGAAGAUGGUGGCUGCAAUGUUAGCCAAAAGGAUUAACACAAACCACCACUCAGGAACUUGCUUAUACUUCCUCAUCAGUUUUGUGUGAAUGUCCAUUUUUGUGUCUUGAAAGCUUGCCUUGCUUUGCUCCCAUAUCUCCCUCCCAUGAAACAGAGCAACAUGCAUAAUUGUGGCAGUUAGGGCAGCAAAACCAACUCCAUAAGUCAUUGCAAAAAAUGUGCUGAGAUAAAGGGGCCCUUCCUUCUCAUAGGCAGCAAGAUCAAGGUGGAAAUUGGAAUCAAUUAUAGCUGUAAUGUUAUACUCCUGACCUCUUUACAUCAACAGGGCAGGAGUAUAACAUUACAGCUAUAAUUGAUUCCAAUUUCCACCUUGAUCUUGCUGCCUAUGAGAAGGAAGGGCCCCUUUAUCUCAGCACAUUUUUUGCAAUGACUUAUGGAGUUGGUUUUGCUGCCCUAACUGCCACAAUUAUGCAUGUUGCUCUGUUUCAUGGGAGGGAGAUAUGGGAGCAAAGCAAGGCAAGCUUUCAAGACACAAAAAUGGACAUUCACACAAAACUGAUGAGGAAGUAUAAGCAAGUUCCUGAGUGGUGGUUUGUGUUAAUCCUUUUGGCUAACAUUGCAGCCACCAUCUUCGCUUGUGAGUAUUAUAAUGACCAGCUUCAAUUGCCAUGGUGGGGCGUUUUACUAGCUUGUGGAAUUGCCAUUGUAUUCACUCUUCCCAUUGGCAUCAUCACUGCUAUCACAAAUCAGGUACUUCUACCAUCUACUGCCUGAAAUGCAGGAAGUCUCGAGUCUUGUGCACUGAGACCCCCCUUUUUUAUUUUUUUUUAUACAAGAGACACCCUAUUUUUUAAUUACUCAUCUCAUUUCUUCUGAUGAAAGACACCGGGCUUGAACAUCAUCACUGAAUAUGUAAUUGGGUAUAUCUACCCAGGAUACCCAGUUGCCAACAUGUGCUUCAAGGUGUAUGGAUACAUAAGUAUGACACAGGCCGUAACUUUCCUGCAAGACUUUAAACUUGGCCACUAUAUGAAGAUUCCUCCCAGAACAAUGUUCAUGGCACAGAUUGUGGGAACCAUUAUAGCAUGUCUUACAUAUUUGGGCACUGCAUGGUGGCUAAUGGAAACCAUCCCAGAUUUGUGUGACACAACAGCCUCCAAUAGCGUCUGGACUUGCCCAAGCGAUACUGUAUUCUACGAUGCAUCUGUGAUUUGGGGUUUAAUUGGACCUCGCAGAAUUUUUGGAGAUUUAGGCACCUAUGAGGCAGUCAACUGGUUCUUCCUAGGUGGUGCAAUUGCACCUGUUCUUGUGUGGUUAGCUGCAAAGGCUUUCCCUCAACAAGAAUGGAUUAGACUUAUAAAUAUGCCAGUGUUAAUAGGCGCAACAGGAAUGAUGCCACCAGCUACAGCAGUUAACUACACUAGCUGGAUAAUUUUGGGUUUCCUCUCUGGCUUUGUUGUGUAUAGGUACAGGCCAGACUUGUGGCAGCGAUACAAUUAUGUUCUUUCAGGGUCACUGGAUGCUGGUCUUGCCUUCAUGGGUGUGCUAAUAUAUCUUUGCCUGGGGCUAGAAGAUAUUAGUGUUGAUUGGUGGGGAAAUAACCUUGACGGCUGCUCCCUAGCUACUUGCCCAACGGCUAAAGGAGUUGUUGUUGAAGGCUGCCCUGUCUUCAGCUAGAAAUAUUGUAAUUAUUAUUGUUUUAUAAGAAUUCCAAUUUAAUUAUAUAAAGAUCAAUUGAUAUACCAAAGUAUAUUUAUUUUACUGCAA
rnacentral:misc_RNA from 1 species